CGUGUAACUAACAGUGCAAACAAACCCUAAUUCUCAUUCAUCACUUUCAUUCUCUUCGGACUCACGCAAACUUCCACACAAUAGACAAUACAAAGAUGCCGAGUAGACGCGUUCUCUUCCUUGUUCUCUCACUCACCGCUCUGAUCCUCUUCCUCUCCUCGCUCUCUCUAACCUUCUCCAAUCCUAUCGAAAAUGAAGACCCCUUCUUCCUCCAAGAAAUGAGGAACGAAAUCAAACCCGAUAUCAUCAAUGAAUGGCCGAUCGAUGAAGAAGAAGAAGAAGAAGAUAAUGAUGAUAACGACGACCAAUUCGAUUACUAUAACAAUCGUUUUGCCGUGCCUGACGAAUGGAAGUAGCAUGAUCUGAUCAGCGCAAAGACAGACUCACUCACUGAUUUGGAAGUGCAAUACUCUUGCUUGCUGUGGGUGGAUAUAUACUACCAAAGAAACCAUUGGGUGAGCCUUGAAGGAGUCAAAAUAUGUUUCAAUUUUUAUUUUUAUUUUUGUAAAUAAAUUAGCAUAACUUUUUAUAAUGAGGAGUCCCUUUUGUAGGAUUGAAUGAGACUUGUAAUUAGGUGUCCUACUAAAAAUCUAUUAAUUCCCAAUAAUUAGGUGUUCUACUAAAAAUCUAUUAAUCCCCAAUAAAUGGUUUCAUUUCUUCCUUAUAUAGGCCAUAUUAAAUUCUUUUUUGUCA